rnacentral:rRNA from 1 species
GAUGAACGCUGGCGGCGUGCCUAAUACAUGCAAGUCGAGCGAACAGACGAGGAGCUUGCUCCUCUGACGUUAGCGGCGGACGGGUGAGUAACACGUGGAUAACCUACCUAUAAGACUGGGAUAACUUCGGGAAACCGGAGCUAAUACCGGAUAAUAUAUUGAACGGCAUGGUUCAAUAGUGAAAGACGGUUUUGCUGUCACUUAUAGCUGGAUCCGCGCCGAAUUAGCUAGUUGGUAAGGUAACGGCUUACCAAGGCAACGAUGCGUAGCCGACCUGAGAGGGUGAUCGGCCACACUGGAACUGAGACACGGUCCAGACUCCUACGGGAGGCAGCAGUAGGGAAUCUUCCGCAAUGGGCGCAAGCCUGACGGAGCAACGCCGCGUGAGUGAUGAAGGUCUUCGGAUCGUAAAACUCUGUUAUUAGGGAAGAACAAAUGUGUAAGUAACUAUGCACGUCUUGACGGUACCUAAUCAGAAAGCCACGGCUAACUACGUG